GAAUUAUAGCCUCAGAAAAACUUUUCCACAACAUUAAUUACAAGAGGAAUCUGGAAAGCUCUUAUGAUCCCUGAGCCUCUCUGUGAACCAUACUGCCUGGGAAGAUACUCAACUCGGUCCUUCCCCUCAGAAUUGGUGUGGAUUACUUUUACUUACUGUGAAUCCUUUACUUCCAGACCACCCCUUCUUUACUGUUGCCCACAAACCAGAAACUCAAGGAGAGAUGUAGCUGAAUUAAGAAAUGUUCUUUUAACUUAAACAAUUUUACAAGAAAAAACCAAACAACCCCAUCAAAAAGUGGGCAAAGGAUAUGAACACACACUUCUCAAAAGAAGACAUUUAUGCAGCCAACAGACGUAUGAAAAAAUGCUCAUCAAAUGGUCAUCAGAGAAAUGCAAAUCCAAACCACAAUGAGAUACCAUCUCAUGCCAGUUAGAAUGGCGAUCAUUAAAAAGUCAGGAAACAACACAUGCUGGAGAGGAUGUGGAGAAAUAGGAAUGCAAUGAAUAAAUGAUACAUAUAAGUAUUUAUUAAUGUAGUUAAGAUCAGUUCACUUGGGUUUUCUGACUCAUUUUCAGUGGACCAUAUAUUAGUAUUUCACCAGGAUAAUCCCUUUCCCAUGCAGUGAAACUCUUCUGUGACCUGUGACUUCUGUGUUGGUGGGAGUGUAAAUAGUUCAACCAUUGUGGAAGACAGUGUGGUGAUUCCUCAAGGAUCUAGAACUAGAAAUACCAUUUGACCCAGCAAUCCCAUUACUGGGUAUAUACCCAAAGGAUUAUAAAUCAUGCUACUAUAAAGACAUAUGCAUGUGUAUGUUUAUUGCAGCACUAUUCACAAUAGCAAAGACGUGGAACCAACCCAAAUGUCCAUCAAUAAUAGGCCAGAUAAAGAAAAUGUGGCACAUAUACACCAUGGAAUACUAUGCAGCCAUAAAAAAGGAUGAACUCAUAUCCUUUGCAGGGACAUGGAUGAAGCUGGAAACCAUCGUUCUCAGCAAAUCACCACAAGGACAGAGAACCAAACACUGCAUGUUCUCACUCAUAAGUGGGAGUUGAACAAUGAGAACACAUGGACACAGGGAGGUGAACAUCAUACACCAGGGCCUGUUGGGGGGUGGUGGGCUGGGGGAGCGAUAGCAUUAGGAGAAAUACCUAAUGUAAAUGAAGGGUUGAUGGGUGCAGCAAACCAACAUGGCACAUGUAUACCUACGUAACAAACCUGCACAUUGUGCACAUGUACCCUAGAACUUAAAGUAUAAUAAAAAAAAUUUAAAACCCACUAGCAAAAAAAAAAUGUUCUUUUUUUGGUUAUCAACAUAAAAUAAACUUUCUAGAAUUUCCAAAAAUUUAAUCAGAUAUCUCAAAUUUCCUGAAGUCCUGUUUGUUGGUGAAUUCUUGGUAUUUCUUUGAAUCGUUCACUUUCAGUAAUCA
rnacentral:lncRNA from 10 species